CGGAGCGUAGCGCAGGGGUAGCGCAUCUGCUUUGGGAGCAGAGGGUCGGAGGUUCAAAUCCUCUCGCUCCGACCA
rnacentral:tRNA from 2 species